rnacentral:snRNA from 1 species
GGGCAGAAGACGCUUGCUUUGCCAAUGUACUAAAAUUGGAAUGAUACACAGAUUAACAUAGCCUCUUGCAAGGAUAACACGCAAACUCACGAAGCAUUCCAUGUUUUC